UACGUAGGGUGCAAGCGUUGUCCGGAAUUAUUGGGCGUAAAGAGCUCGUAGGCGGUUUGUCGCGUCUGCUGUGAAAAUCCAGGGCUUAACCCUGGACCUGCAGUGGGUACGGGCAGACUAGAGUGCGGUAGGGGAGACUGGAAUUCCUGGUGUAGCGGUGAAAUGCGCAGAUAUCAGGAGGAACACCGAUGGCGAAGGCGGGUCUCUGGGCCGUAACUGACGCUGAGGAGCGAAAGCAUGGGGAGCGAACAGG
rnacentral:rRNA from 1 species